rnacentral:rRNA from 1 species
AGAUUGAACGCUAGCGGGAUGCUUUACACAUGCAAGUCGAACGGCAGCGCGGACUUCGGUCUGGCGGCGAGUGGCGAACGGGUGAGUAAUAUAUCGGAACGUGCCCAGUAGCGGGGGAUAACUACGCGAAAGCGUGGCUAAUACCGCAUACGCCCUACGGGGGAAAGGGGGGAUCGCAAGACCUCUCACUAUUGGAGCGGCCGAUAUCAGAUUAGCUAGUUGGUGAGGUAAAGGCUCACCAAGGCGACGAUCUGUAGCUGGUUUGAGAGGACGACCAGCCACACUGGGACUGAGACACGGCCCAGACUCCUACGGGAGCAGCAGUGGGAAUUUGGACAAGUGGGGAAACCUGAUCCAGCCAUCCCGCGUGUGCGAUGAA